rnacentral:misc_RNA from 1 species
GAUGAAGAACGCAGCGAAAUGCGAUAAGUAAUGUGAAUUGCAGAAUUCAGUGAAUCAUCGAAUCUUUGAACGCACAUUGCGCCCCCUGGUAUUCCGGGGGGCAUGCCUGUCCGUGCGUCAUUACAACCCUCAAGCUCAGCUUGGUGUUGGGCCCCGCCGCCCCGGCGGGCCCUAAAGUCAGUGGCGGUGCCGUCCGGCUCCGAGCGUAGUAAUUCUUCUCGCUCUGGAGGUCCGGUCGUGUGCUCGCCAGCAACCCCCAAUUUUUUUCAGGUUGACCUCGGAUCAGGUAGGGAUACCCGCUGAACUUAAGCAUAUCAAUAAGCGGAGGA